AUGGCAAAGAGGUUGGCAAAUCCUAUGGCCGUCAAGCAUGUAAUGGCGUACCAGCCCCACCUCUUUGCCAUCUGCCACCAGACGGCAAAGAUUCUUUGCCAUCUGCUGGCAGAUGGCAAAGAGAUGGGGUGGGAGGCCAAGUCCAAGGGCGGCGCCGGAGGCAAGACCAAGACCAGGUGGGGCACCGAGAUCAAGGGCAAAGGCUCACUCGAGCCAUGGUCGCAUGCCUACACCUGGGAGGAGGACUUCACCGCCUCCGACGACGACGAGGAUGAGCUGGAGGUCGAGGAGCGUAGGCCGGAGAAGCCCAAGAAGAUCAAGGCCGCCGCCAAGGACAAGGAGGUUGACAAGAAGAAGAAGAAGCUGGCGAGGACGUGCGUCCAGAUUGAGGAGAUCCCCGAGGACAACACCGCCGGCUGCGACGCCAUCCGCAAGGCCUUUUCCAUGGGGAACGGCAAGGGGAAGGCCAAGGAGAUGUCGCCGCAGGAUGCCGCGCUGCUCAUCCAGAUGAACUACAGGGCGCACCUCGCCCACCGCUCCCAGGUGCUCAGCUGCCUGUGCGAUCUCGCCAUCGCCAAGGCCAAGCUCAAGGAGCUCCGGUCCCUCUUCUACAACCUCUCCUACAGGCGCCGCCUCUCGCACGACCACGAGGAGCGCCAGAGGUUCUCCGAGAAGAUCAUUGUCCUGCUCCUCACUGUCGAAGCGCUCGAGUUACUGCAUACAGUG
rnacentral:rRNA from 1 species